AGUGAACGCUGGCGGCGUGCCUAACACAUGCAAGUCGAACGGAUAUUAAGGGCUUGCUCUUAAGGUUAGUGGCGCACGGGUGAGUAACACGUAGCUAACCUGCCCCAUAGUAAGGGACAACAGUUGGAAACGACUGCUAAUACCUUAUACUCCUUCUCUACCUAAGUAGAGUCGGGAAAGUUUUUUCGCUAUGGGAUGGGGCUGCGGCCUAUCAGCUUGUUGGGGAGGUAAUGGCUCACCAAGGCUAUGACGGGUAGCUGGUCUGAGAGGAUGAUCAGCCACAUUGGAACUGAGACACGGUCCAAACUCCUACGGGAGGCAGCAGUGGGGAAUUUUACACAAUGGGCGAAAGCCUGAUGUAGCAACGCCGCGUGGAGGAUGAAGGAUUUAGGUUCGUAAACUCCUUUUAUAAGGGAAGAAAUUUGACGGUACCUUAUGAAUAAGCACCGGCUAACUCCGUGCCAGCAGCCGCAGUAA
rnacentral:rRNA from 1 species